rnacentral:lncRNA from 1 species
UUGAUUUCUGUUUCUGAUCCAAAUACAAGUGUCAUCCUGAAGAUUAUGCUCCUAACAGCAUUUCACAGAACACAUUCUGUCACCUAUUAUUUCUCUGGUUUCUUUAGCAUGAUAGAUAUUCCUCCUUCCCUUUCUGACUACCUUCAUCACUGUUUCAAUUCUUGACAGUGUGACAUUCUCAAACAACAAUCUAAUGCCUACAGAGCUUCAUGCUGACACAAGCAAAAAGAAGGACAGACUUCCACCUAAAUGAGAGGAUGGAGUCUGUUGGGCAGUUGAAGACAGUACAGAGAAAAGUUAUCAGGGGUCCUUCUGGAAGGAGUAAAUGUCUUUAUACUGCAUAGCAGCAUCACUGGAUUUCUUCAGGGGCACCAGCUUUAAAAGGACCAUCUCUGCUGUCAGCCAUAGUUUGAUGUUUUGAAUAAACCUCCAGACGGACCAAGCGCCUUUCUUCCC